rnacentral:misc_RNA from 1 species
GAUGAAGAACGCAGCAAACUGCGAUAAGUAAUGUGAAUUGCAGAAUUCAGUGAAUCAUCGAAUCUUUGAACGCACAUUGCGCCCAUUAGUAUUCUAGUGGGCAUGCCUGUUCGAGCGUCAUUAAGUCCACUUAAGCCCUGCUUAGUGUUGGGAGACUGCUCCAGCGGUGCUACCCUGUAGCUACCCUGCAGCUCCUCAAAGACAGCGGCGGAGUUGUGGUAUCCUCUGAGCUUAGUAACUUGUUCUAGCUUUCGAGUACACCACUUCCCCUGCCGUAAAACCCUUAAUUUUUAAUGGUUGACCUCGGAUCAGGUAGGAAUACCCGCUGAACUUAAGCAUAUCAAUAAGCGGAGGA